AUUACUCGCCAAAGUGAAAAAGAAGAAAUUUUGAAAAUUAGCUCCAGCCUAAACUAUUUAUAUUAUUUUUGGUUUUACCACUUCUUUGGCGCGAAAAUUCCAAGUUUCUGGCGUCGCUUUUAGUUUGCACAACAUUUUGUGUUUUCUUUUUGUGUUUGGUUUUUAUAAUUUUUUUUUUUUUAUUUCUCUACUACUAUUACUAUUAUUUUGCCGGUGUGAGAAUUUGUUGAUUGUUUACGCACAAAAUGUGCACAAAAUUUUCAUUGGACUCGAACGACUGAAAAGUGCGUCGUUCUCAGGACCUUUCCACAACACUAGAAGAUGCCAAUUGCAAUUACUAAACGCAAUCAUGAUAGCGUUACAAAUGGGCAAAGUCAAUGAAAAUUGCUAGAAAAUCUCUGGAACUACAACAACAACAACUGAAGAACCAACAACUACUUUGACAACAUGAAAUCAUAUUGCUUGGCACACGGGAUUUAAGAGGGUUGAUCCAUAAUGUUUGCAACAAAAAGUUUCGAAAUAUUAAAGUUAGAGAAAAUAAUUAAAUAUUUGUUAAGUUUAUUCAUCUUCUGACAAUGACUAGUUAGAGACGAUAUAUAUGGAUUUAUAUAGCAUAUAUAUAAUAUGUCUUUGUUGAAACGAACCACAAUUACUCUUGUUUGAAUUGAAUAUAUUUUUUAUAUCAGGGUUUUUUUUUGUAAAUCUAAGAGAACAACUUAGCCUAAAAACUAAGGCAUCUUAAGAAUUUUCAGUCCCUCACAGCUUUGUCAGUACUUAUGGUUAAAGGGGUGUGUAUAAGUACAAGCUUAGCCAAACUCCAGGUUGAGCGAGAGCAGGAGCAGAAGCUAAAAAAAAAUUUUUUUUCAGAAAGUAAUUCUAUGUGUGACUCGUUUCAUUCUUUAUUUCUGAAUUAGAAUUUGAGUUUAAGCAUUGCUCCUUCAGGCUGUCAGCUUGGAGUAGAGCUAAGUAAGUGCUUGCUUUGCAAGUUCUAGAGCAGCCCUCGUAGCCACACAAUUGGCAUUUGGCAGCUUCUCAGGUUUGCCGGUGGUUUGGCUCGUUAACCGUUAAGCUCGCGUGUGUGUGUGGGUGCGUGCCUAGGCAUGGUGUGCAUGUGUAUUGUUAUAGGUGAGCGUGUCUCUGUGCGUGCGUCCUGUACGUGUCCUUUUGCUAAUCGCUGCGUUCAAAGUGUUGCGCGGAAUAUAAGUGCAGCACAACGCUUUCUGGCGCGUGACCCCCAAAAACACGCGACCGCAAGCGCCAGCAUUGCAUGUGCAGGAGCAGGAGGAGACGGAGAAGGAGGAGGAGUGCAUGCGAAUGUGAUCUUUGAUUUGGCAUCAGGCAGCGGCGACGGCAGCGGCGACGGCAGAGGCGGCAGUGGCGGAAAUAUGGCAAUGGCAAGCAUAUGUACGUGCAAUGGGUAUUCAUUGCGUGUCGCCACCUUUUGACGCCAAACUUUUCAAGUUAGUUCAACUACAGCCACAAUUUGUGCACCGUUUCGCUGCAGCUGCAGAGCUUGUUGCACGCCGUCGCCUGUCUGCGGUUGCCACUUUUAAGUUCUACCCAUACAUGCACUCAGAUGUUGAGCUCUUUUCGUGUCGUUAUUUGUUUUUAUUUAUGCUCAUUUUUUGUUUCCAUUUGUUUUCCUUUUCGUGUUUCUCCUUUUUGGCAUUCAACAUUUGUUUGGCUGUCGCGAAAAGUUGCCAAGCGCCAUAACUCAUCGGGGUGUAUUUGCUCGUUAAACUCUUGCAAAGAAAAUAUCAACUACACUAAUUAAUUACAGAGUUUAAUAAAAAAAAUAAAAUAAAAUAUAAUAAAAAUAAGCAAGAACAAAAAACAAACAAAAAAUUCUCCGAAAUUUAUGACCCUAAGCAAAAUUUCAAGACGCAUUAAGAUGAUAUUAAUUAUGUAGAAAGACUUGGCUUGACAUGUGACAGAGGAAGCUCUCGGAGCAAGAGGUUCUCUAGUUGAAGGCAGAAAAAAAAAAUAAAAAAAAUUGUAUGAAAAUUAUAGAGGGAGAUAAACACUUGCAGAUCUUGAAUAAAAAUGAAAAGAAAUUAAAAAAAAAAAAAAA